UGGGGAAUUUUGGACAAUGGGCGCAAGCCUGAUCCAGCAAUGCCGCGUGCAGGAUGAAGGCCUUCGGGUUGUAAACUGCUUUUUGUACGGAACGAAAAGCCUCUCUCUAAAUACAGGGGGGCUGAUGACGGUACCGUAAGAAUAAGCACCGGCUAACUACGUGCCAGCAGCCGCGGUAAUACGUAGGGUGCAAGCGUUAAUCGGAAUUACUGGGCGUAAAGCGUGCGCAGGCGGUUUUGUAAGACAGUGGUGAAAUCCCCGGGCUCAACCUGGGAACUGCCAUUGUGACUGCAAGGCUGGAGUGCGGCAGAGGGGGAUGGAAUUCCGCGUGUAGCAGUGAAAUGCGUAGAUAUGCGGAGGAACACCGAUGGCGAAGGCAAUCCCCUGGGCCUGCANUGACGCUCAUGCACGAAAGCGUGGGGAGCAAACAGGAUUA
rnacentral:rRNA from 1 species